rnacentral:lncRNA from 1 species
UAUCAGUUCAAUGCUGUAUAGAUGGUUCUGCUAUCAGUUCUAUACUAUAUAGAUAGUUCAGCUAUAUGUCAGUUCUAUUCUGUAUAGAUUGUUCUGCUAUCAGUUCUAUACUGUAUAGAUGGUUCUGCUAUCAGAUCUAUACUGUAUAGAUGGUUCUGCUCUCAGUUCUAUACUGUAUAGAUGGUUCUGCUAUCAGUUCUAUACUGUAUAGAUGGCUCUGCUGUACGUUCUAUACUGUAUAGAUGGCUAUGCUAUAUGUCAGUUCUAUACUGUAUAGAUGAUUCUGCUAUCAGUUCUAUUCUGUAUAGAUGGUUCUGCUAUAUAUCCGUUCUAUACUGUAUAGAUGGCUCUGCUAUCAGUUCUAUACUGUAUAAAUGGUUCUGCUAUCAGUUCUAAACUGUAUAGAUGGUUCUGCUAUCAGUUCUAUUCUGUAUAGAUGGUUCUGCUAUCAGUUCUAUUCUGUAUAGAUGGUUCUGCUAUCAGUACUAUUCUGUAUAGAUGGUUCUGCUAUCAGUUCUAUACUGUAUAGAUGGUUCUGCUAUAUGUCAGUUCUAUACUGUAUUGAUGGUCCUGCUAUCAGUUCUAUACUGUAUAGAUGGUUCUGCUAUCAGUUCUAUACUGUGUAGAUGGUCCUGCUAUCAGUUCUAUACUGUAUUGAUGGUCCUGCUAUCAGUUCUAUACUGUAUAGAUGGUUCUGCUAUCAGUUCUAUACUGUAUAGAUGGUUCUGCUAUCAGUUCUAUACUGUGUAGAUGGUUCUGCUAUCAGUUCUAUACUGUAUAGAUGGCUCUGCUAUAUGUCAGUUCUAUACUGUAUAGAUUGUUCUGCUAUCAGUUCUAUGCUGUAUAGAUGGUUCUGCUAUAUGUCAGUUCUGUUCUGUAUAGAUGGUUCUGCUAUAUGUCAGUUCUAUACUAUAUAGAUGGUUCUGCUAUCAGUUCUAUACUGUAUAGAUGGUUCUGCUAUAUGUCAGUUCUAUACUGUAUUGAUGGUCCUGCUAUCAGUUCUAUACUGUAUAGAUGGUUCUGCUAUAUGUCAGUUCUGUUCGGUAUAGAUGGUUCUGCUAUAUGUCAGUUCUAUACUGUAUUGAUGGUUCUGCUAUCAUUUCUAUACUGUGUAGAUGGUUCUGCUAUCAGUUCUAUACUGUGUAGAUGGUUCUGCUAUCAGUUCUAUACUGUAUAGAUGGUUCUGCUAUCAGUUCUAUACUGUGUAGAUGGUUCUGCUAUAUGUCAGUUCUUUUCUGUAUAGAUGGUUCUGCUAUAUGUCAGUUCUGUUCUGUAUAGAUGGCUCUGCUAUAUGUGAAUAUGUGAAUAAAAU